CAAAACAAUGGUCUGGUGUAUAACUUGACUGGGCAAUUCAAAGGUUGUUUUUCAAACCUAUCAACAAACAUCUCGGAAUGGUACUGUGUUUGUGGUUCCAAAUGUCUGACUAAUCAAAUUGUAAUCUUAAGGUCACUAAACAAGUUGUUUGCAGACUAUCCCCAUAGAUGAGAGGAGGGUCUACAACUCACAAUGUUCGACCAGCGGACCCAACGUCAUAUAACGACUAAAUACACGCCGUAUUAUCGGACGUUUGGCAGGGAGGCCAGGUAUCCAUCAAAAUACCAACGGAGUAUUAGAUCACGGAACAGAAAAUUGAGAGGCUCAUUUCCCGGCUCCGGAUAAAGCGGAAGAAAAUAGAUAUAGGAUAAGAGUGGAGAUCUCAUGUCUGAAAAAGGGGGGGAAAAAAAGAUAAAAAUAACAAUCUAAAACGCUAUAUCCUGCCCCAGCAAAGGAUUCCCUCCAAGCUAAAUGCGCAUCAGCCUCCCGCCCUGGCCUCGUCGUCCCCCUCUGCGCAUCAGCCUCUCGCCCUGGCCUCGUCGUCCCCCUCUGCGCAUCAGCCUCCCGCCCUGGCCUCGUCGUCCCCCUCUGCGCAUCAGCCUCCCGCCCUGGCCUCCUCCCUGUAAGAUGAGUAUUCUACUUCAUUCCAAGUUGAUCAUGGUUUUACACACUCAGAUUGGGCCCUAUAAACUUUCUUCUGAGAACAUCAUGGACCUGGCCCCUGGCAGAGAGUUUCAGAGUGAGGCACUUGUUACAUGGUUGGAAAAUACUUGUAUCUUUGCAGGUGAUCAACACCUACCUUUUAUCACUGGGCAGGGAGACGGGGUCAUUAAUCCUUGACUCCUACCUUAUGUCCUCAGUAUGGCGGGGGACAUUGAACAUUGAAAGGUUGGGGGGGGAGGCAAGUAUCAGUGCAUAGACCAAACAAGCUGGAUACAAAGUUUGUUAAAGUCUGUCUUUCACAGGUGCCUUUGAUGACCCACAAUGUGUUGGCUGAGGCUGUUUGUGAUGAGCACCACUGGACACUUGUAGUGAGUACCAGACUGAUGCACAGAUAAAAAGGUGCCAGGAGAUGACCAGAUGGGUAAUUCAGAGGCAUGACAAAUUUAGUACAAUCACAAUACAAGCUUCUCUGACUGUUUGAAUUUCAUACUGAAGAGCAUUUGUACACAAACAAUGCCUGGCCAUUGGGAAGUGGGGAUCCUUCAUGGUUCCUCAACCACGGCAGCAGGAGUUCUAAUGUGAACGGUAAGUACAGACAUUGUACAAUGUGUCCCAGGAAGGCCACAAACUAAUGGCUACAAAUCCUCAGAUGGCAGAGUGUAUAUUGAGGUGUCAAGAACCAGCAUGCCAUGCUAAGGAUAUGGCAGAAUUGAUACUGGACAUGGCAUACUGUAGACUCUGCUGAAAAACACAGGUGACCUACUGCAGCCACAGUGCACUUCUAAUGUAUAGACGGAUAUGUAUAUCCUUGCCCUAAUGCUUUUCCGUGCAGAUGACUAUUUGGAAUUGUGUCAUAUGGGAAGUUUAGCUCUGCAGUUGCCACAGAAGACUGGAUUGAAUCCAGUUGCUGCUCUGUGUGGAAUCGCUGCGCCCCUGUGGCAUACCCAUCCACAGCGGGAGACUACCACUGCUAGGCCUGUUAACACUACUACAUCAGCAAAUCUGUAAAGUGUUAGGGUUGGG